rnacentral:lncRNA from 1 species
GUCUCUUCUAAAUCAGCAGAUCUGACAUCCAACUGAUUAAAUUCAGGUUAGCACAUCAACAUGUCUAACCAAUCUAGUCGGCGUGGGUGAACUCGACUCAACAAGUAAUCUAACAUGAAACUUAAUCCCUCAAGAUGGUCAAGUAAGUUAAGAUGCAUGGAGUCCUCCCGUUGCUUUUCUUAGUCACCAAUCAAAAUUGAUCUGCAGCCUUCUUCUUCUUCUUCUCGUUCUUCGCUGUAGAUGGACAACACCUCUACUAUUGGCAUAUGAAAAUAUGGGACGCCCAACCCUUAGGCGUGGAAGAGAAGAGAGGGAGGAGAGGAGGCGUGGAGAAGGGAGAGAG